rnacentral:rRNA from 1 species
CAGUAGCCGCGGUAAUACGUAGGUGGCAAGCGUUGUCCGGAAUUAUUGGGCGUAAAGGGCUCGCAGGCGGUUUCUUAAGUCUGAUGUGAAAGCCCCCGGCUCAACCGGGGAGGGUCAUUGGAAACUGGGAAACUUGAGUGCAGAAGAGGAGAGUGGAAUUCCACGUGUAGCGGUGAAAUGCGUAGAGAUGUGGAGGAACACCAGUGGCGAAGGCGACUCUCUGGUCUGUAACUGACGCUGAGGAGCGAAAGCGUGGAGAGCGAACAGGAUUAGAUACCCCCGUAGUCCCUGUCUCUUAUAC